UUUUUAUUGAAAGCCUCAAUUAAAAUUAAUCUGGGAGGGCAAUAAUAAGGAAGGAAAUGAAGGGAUGGAUAUAAAAGUAUAUGUGUACUGCGGUGUCAUUACUUGUCGGUGGCGAUUAAGGGAGUCCUGCUGUCUGGAAAUUGGCUUUGCCUCCCAGGAAACCUGAGGAAAGCGCUGCCCUAGUUAAUGCUGCCGUAGCUCUUGGGAGAGGCUUGGAAUGAGAUAGAUACAGGUUUUCUUUUGAAAUAUGCUCUUGAAUAAAUUAGUUUGCGUCCAGAAAUGGCAUCUGUUUUCCCUGGCUCAGAUAUUUUUCUGGAAAAGUGUUUAGGUAUGCAGCUCACACGGAAAGUGGGACUAAUAUCUAAGCAGCUUUGAAAAUCGGCGCUGUGUUGUUUUGAGUCAGGACAGAAAUGCUGUUUUAAUUCCAAAGUUUGAAUACAGCAAUGCUGUGGGGUCAGUAAGCCCUGGAGAAGGAAAGGAUGGGCCCUUAGAUGAAAAAGUUAUGAUGUGGAAAAUUAAGUGUUUGGAAGAGUUAAGUGGCCUGGUGUUCAGCGCCACCACCUAACAACAAAGCUUCUCUUUUAUUUUCAAAGAAGUAGCUGAAAACUCUGUGUCUCUUGGAGGUCACUUGCUGAUUUAUCUCCAAUUCACAGCUCAUUAGAAGGUGUGUAACUCUUCAGAGAUGUUGUUAUUUAACAGGCGAAGAUAAAGCCUUGAAUGAGAAUCAGCCAGCGGAGCCACAAAGGGCAGCUGCAGUUUUUGCUCCCUGCACAGGAGGGUGCUCAGCCUCUGUCUUUAUCUGCAGGCAGGAGCAGCUCCCGUGCUCAUCAGGACCAGGUGGAGAAGCCGUUUCCUGAACCGGCCUUUUCCUGUAGUGACACUGGAGGAUCUGUUCAAUCCAGUGACUCAGAAAUUAUUCAGAUGUUCAGGAAUUUCGGGAGUUCAGCCAAAGCACAGUGGCCAGGCUUGUCUGGUUCAGGAGGAAAUGCAGAGGUGAAUUUUAGAGAUGGAUUUUAGAGAUGAAUUUUUGACCAGACCACGUUUGCGAUCAAGUUCAUUUCCACAGAAGGACUUCCCCUGUGCAUUCCGUGUUUCUGUCCCAGCUCUGUCAAUGUCUGGGUGCUGUUCCCAGUGCUGAGGUGCACUGGAAGCUGAUCCUUGGCUUUCCCCCUGGCCCAGCCUUUGUCUGCAGCCGUGGGUGAGGGCAGGCCCAGCUCCUGUGCCUGCUGCAGGGAGAUAACGGGGUGCUUGUUAACCACGGCUCUUAUCUCCCUGCCCUGUGCCCUGCUCCUGCCUGCUCUGCUCACCCCAGCCCUCAGCAGCUUGGUGACAUUUCUGUCACAAAAAAAAAGACCCCAAACAUCUCCAGUUCUGUCCCUCAGAAUGGGGAUUUUGGGAUUGAUACAAUCAGAGAUGAGGGUGAGGUUGUUUAAUGGAAGUCUUGAGUUGAACGAAAAUCUCUGAACUAAAUCACAGCACACCCAUAUCCUUCAAGCUGUCAAACAAAACAUCUGGUUAUGAUAAUCAUUAUCUUAAUUGAAGAGUUCUAGCUCAUGCCAUGCUUUUCUUCAUUAAUGGAGAGAAUUAAUGAAAGAAUACUUAGGAAAGUACUUAACUAUUUAACUGAGAGCUACUUCUGAAGUGAAACACUGCUGAAGGAAUACUGGAAUUCAUCUUAGCCUCCUAGAUAAACUUCCUCCUGGUGAACUUCACCAAGUUAACCAUUUUUCAGCCUCCAAUGCUGCAGUACAAAUGUGCUUCCUUAAAUCUGGCUUGCUUGCAGACAGAGUCUGACACACUGGAUUUAGUACAGCUGCAGAAUUAACAUUCAGAACUCCCAUGCUGCACAGUUUCCCCACGUGUUACAUAAAAAUGCUGUGCAGUUCCUCUCUCCAAAGCUCCUCUCUCAGGGCUUUAGCUGCCUGUUUGCCUCCCCUUUGGUUGCUGUUUUCAUUUAUACAAAUCCAAUUUUACACACUCGCCCCAAUUACCGUUCAUUGGGAGAUAAACAUUGUAAAUUGAUAAUUCUGCCUAAUAUUGACUUAACAUGCAAGGUGUGACAGCUUCAGAACGUAUUUUGAAGGUUUGUUGUGUUGCAGGUGAGGGGAGGAAAUGUGCUUUUCUUUGAACACCUGAGCUGCAGAGCUGUGAUGGUUUGGAUGUUGUUGAGUUUCAACGUGCACAGUUUGGGAUCCAUGUCUGUCUUGUUUAAUCCUUCAAGGUAGAGAAUGGCUCAGAUUCCAUCCCCAAAUUUUCAGAAUUUGUCAUCCAGAGACUGAAUUUCAUUCUGGAAGGUUUUUGGGAAAGGAACUGAUUUGAUUUUGGGAGUAGAUGGAUUUUAAAGUAAGAUUUAGGUAAAUACCAUCAGGAACAUCUCCUCCUCCUCCAUGGCUUUUCAUAGCAAAAGUAGCUCUGUUAUUUUUGUAUUCUAAAGAAAUAUUUCCUAACCUUUAUUUUACAAAGAGUCCCUUUUAGCAACUAACUAAAUUUUUUUUACUUUUAUCAGUUUUUCAGCCCAGAUUUGGAAAUCAUUCCUUCCCUCUUUAUCCUAAUGGUCCUUCCCCUGCAGGAGAAUCUCAGCCUGGAUUCCAGUGGAUUCAGCAGUGAAGGAUGGACUGGGAGCAGUGUGAAAUUCUUGUUGCAUCUCCUGACAGGAGAGCAGAGCCACAGAGCAGGAAACAGCAUCAACAUUCUUCAUAAAGCAGAGAAAAUAGGUGCAGGCAAAUCCUUUAAAUUGAACUCUAAUGAAAUUAUUGUUUAUGGCCCAGCCUCUCCCUUCCAUCCAGAAUCUGUCAUUUAGGUGAUUGGGCCAGUAGGUGCAAACAUAAUUGAAUCCAGGGAAAUAAAUAAGGAGGGAGGCUGGGGAUUGUUUGCUAAAAAAGAAGACAUCUAGUUUACUAAUUAGGAGGAUUUAUAGAUGCUGCACUUAAAAAUAGAUGAUUAUUGAUAGCUCAUCUUAAUUAUGAGAGUUACUUUAUGGUAACUUUGGGGUUUCUUCCAGCAGUAACCAGGAGCAGCAGCCCCUCUGCUCUGGGCUCUGUUGUUUGCAGCUGGAAACUUUCUGAAAGGCUGCACAGAAACAAUGUUGUCAAUUUAGAGAGGAGGUAGCAAAAAAUGUGUGUUACAUCUGUCUUUGAAUUAGUUACUCAGAGGAAAGAAGGGGGAAUUGUUUUUGAUGAUAAGAGCAUAAAAAGUUAUGGGACUGUAGGAAACUAAGAUGGAAAUUGCUUUUGAUAUUCUCAUCUAAAGGUAUUUUAAUGGAAGGCAGAAGUAGAUAUUAAACUAAAAUAUUUGUCAGUGGACACUGCUGAAGUGCAAGUUAAGUAUUUUUAAAUUUCAUUUAUUUUAAAUGCAGUAGUGCCGAUAACACUGGCACUUAGGUCAAUAUCAUUUCUCAUUAAAGUUCUUUUAACACUCACAGCUUUAUCAGUUACCAGCGAGCUCAUCACAGCACCAGGUAUGAAUUCCACAUUUGCCUUUAUCUCAUUCAUUUCUCUAUCCUGCACUUCAAUAAUUUGAAUCUGAAGUAUAUCAGGAAAACAGAGUUGUUUUCUUCUCUUGGAGAGCUCAAGCAGAACUAUUCCUCACAAACAGCAACCAACAGCCAGGCUGAAUUACCAUGGAGGAUGCUGCAGCUGAGCUUGUAAAUAUUAUUUUGAUAGACUUACAUUUCCUUCUGAAAGGAAAGAGCAUUAAGGAAUAUUUUGAAAAUCUAGAAAGGGAAUAAUAGAAAAUAAACCCAAAGCCCGUAAGAUGAAUUUGGCUCACCAGCCUUUUUGCCAUUUCAUGUCUAUCAUUCAUUUUGGAGAUGUAUCAGUUACAUCAAGCUGAGGCCAGUUCAGUUUUAUGUGCCUGUAAAAUGGAGUGGAUUCACCAGGAUCUGGCCCAUUCUCUUCUGUCACCUCAUAUUUCUGUUACUGUGUCUGUACAUUCUAUUUUAACAGUUUGGAGAAAAAUAAAUGGAAAUUUCUAAGUAAAUAUUUUUACAUUCAGCUACUCCAUAGAGCUUCUGUAUUGUGUAUUGCUCCAAGUAAUUCAUCAUGAUGAAAUGCAAUGCCGAAGUAAAAGAGUUAAUUAAAAUUUAGAUUGGAAAUUGAAACACCAAAUGAAUCCAAUCUGAGAGUUAUGAUUUCAGGUUUCUUAUGCCCAGCAACAAAUAAAUGAAUAUCCAAGGAGUGGGACAGCAAUACACUCAGCAGGAGCUGUGGAAUAAAGAAUCUUUAAUUCAGAAAUGUGCACUUUGCUUUUGGCAGGGCUGUUGUGAGAAGGGGUUUGUAACGCCCCAGGAGAUGGGAUUGUUCUGGAUUUGGGAGGAACCAGCAGCUCUAGAGGUGUGAGGAUGCAUUUGCCAUUCCUCAGCUGCCUCAGGAAGUGCAGAACUUUGCUCCUACACUUCCCUCUGGGUGCAGGCUGAUGUGUCCCAUGGACAAUCCAGCUCAGUGUAAAAAUGACUUCAGUUUGCUUCUGAUUUAAUUGCAAAAUCAUUCAGACUUUGUGUGUUUUCUCUGUGAGUAAUCCAAAUUUAGAUUUCACUGUUGGUGCUACCUGGGUUUUUUUCUGCGUUUGUGUUUAAUGCAGCUGAAAGUUAUUAUGUAAAAUGGGUAAAUUGGAGUCUUUAAAGGAGCUGCCAACUUGCAUUUGCCUGAGUUACUUCAGCAGUGGAGAGCAGAGGAAGAAUUCCAGACACGUCAUCCUGAUUUCACAAGUCUGCAGAGAUCUCCAGAGUGGACUUACCCAUCUGUGAGGAAGGCUAUACAUGCAAAUUCAGAUUCCUGAAGCAUUCCCACUAACUCUGCCCUUCUGUUCUGGCAGAAUGAGGAAAAACUGUGGGCUGCCAAAAGGUGAAGACAACCACUUUAUCUGCAAGAGAAUAUUCAUUGAUGGCACUUCACUGGUGAUACAGGUUUGAAAUGGGAAAAUGGGCUUAAAGCCUUCUUCAGGAGAGAUUUACUCUCAGCUUUCUCCAGUGGGAUUGCUUUGAGUCUGUAAGGGCAUCAUGGUUGAGGGCAUGAGGAUGAGGACAUCAAAGCCUUUGCCCACUGAUGACAAUUUCUCUGGAGACAAACACAGCUCAGAAGACAAAUGUUAUGAGCUACCUGUAAGUUCUGGUUCACAAAACAGAUGAGAAUCCAGAGAUACUCCUGAACUUGGAAAUGAAAUUUAUUCUCAAGGUAAUGGUUGAGCUCAUUAUCUGCUGCUCUUUCUAAAUGUGAAGUAAGGAGAGCAAUGCCCAUAUAUCCUCUGUAACAGCUGACAUGUUUUCUGCAUUCCUGUGUUUGCCUAAGAAGUCAUGGAUAAUCAAUUUGAUGUGCAAAAUAAACUGCAUGGAUGAAUUCUGAUACAUAUCACUUGCCAUGGCUGUGCUGUUAGGAGAGGCAAAAACUUCCAGGAAGGAAAGAGCAAGGAAAAAUCUGCCUGAUAAUUUUCUCAUCAGUUUUUCUCCAAGGACAUUUCUGUAGGUGGAUUCUAUAGACAGUGUUUGGGUGUUUUUCCCCCCUUGAGUGGCUGGGUCUGUGUGUGUCAGUUAUUUUCUCCUGCUGUAUUAGAAAUCAAAGCUAAAUAUCACUUCAGGAUAAAUAUAUCUAUAUUUAUAUCUCUACAUCUACCUCCUAUAAUGCUAACUGGGAAGGAUAAAUAUAUCUAUAUUUAUCUCUAUAUAUCUAUCUCCUAUAAUCCUAACUAGGAAAAACUAACCUGAAACACUUAAUUUUCAGCCUUUCUUAUUUUUUAAAUAUAUAUUCUAAAUUAUUUUUAAAAUUCCCCACAUGCAUUACAAAUAACUUCCCAUCUGAUUGGGAAGCAGAAUAGGCAGGAACCAGCAACAGACAGAUGUGAUUAUAAAAGAUGUUCUGUUUGUUAUAAUGAGACUUAUGGUCUUAAUAAACUCUUAGAAUGUUUUUAACACAACCAAAUUAAGUAAGUUUAAAAUCUGAUUUUCUAAAUCUAACCCUAUCAGAUCACUUUUUGCCUUAUUUUUGAGGAUACUCCACCUCAAAUUUUUCUUAGCUUUAGACAAUUUCUCACAAAAUAAAGUUCCAGCAAAGAAAAAAGGGAAAUUUGUACAGAUAAAAAGCAUGAAUGACAAUCCUGAUCAAGUGGAAAAAAUCAAUCUGUGAGCUUAGACAUAGUUCCACAUCAGUCUCCUCCCUUCUUGGAAAUCCAGAUUUCCCCCCGAAUAUCCAGCAGCGUUACGUGGCCUGUCAAAAUUUCCUCAUAAUAUUUCAUGUCCUUGUGCUGGGAAGAAACAGCUGGAUAUUUUGUGUCAUGAUGUGACCAAUCCACCUCUGUUGUUGUCAUUUUAAUUGCUGGGGCUGCAUUUUUAGGUCCUCCACAGAAGGUCUUUGUAGUGACAAGAGAACGGUUCACGCUUCGUAAGCAAACAUAAAGAAUGCUGCUGCUAAUUGGAGAGGGAGUAAUGCAGUUAUGAUUCCAUCAACAUUUAAGUUACAUUGGGAAAGGACACGUUUUUUGUUGGGCCUGUGUUGCCACAGAAAAUUUUACUCCAAGUGGAUUUGGUGGGGAAGGUUUUGGAACAGAACAGAUUAAUCCUGGAAUGACAGGGGAUGGGGGAGAUGGGAGUUAAAUUGUUCGAAGCUACAUCUACAGUAGAAAAUCAGCAUUUUAUUGCUCUUGCUUUGAAAUUGUAGGUAUUAAUUGCUGGCUUGUGAAAUAGCUUGUCUGGGAAAAUGGAAAGAAUGGACAGCCUCAAAAAACUCCCUUUCCCCUGCCCUGAAGAACUGCAGCCACAGUGUUUCAUGUGGAGCAGGGCUCCUCACAAAUCACCAGUUUCCCAAAGAAAGGAGGUUCCUAUUCAUAAUUCAGGUAUUUUGGGUGUUUUCCCCUUGAUAUUCUGCUGUUGUACCUAUAGACAUCCCAAUUUCUAAAAGCCUGCUGGACCUUGUGCUAAACCUUGGCUUUUUUCCUGGAUUACACUUCCAUGGAAUACUUGGCCAUGGAUUAACAGUUUCACAGUUAUGUGCCCAAAGUUCUUUUGCCUUCGUGCUGAUUUAAUUCUUUUUCUACUCCCAUCUCUCUUCUCAGGUGGAGCCUCAUCUUGAGCAGCCUUGGGAGGCCCAAAGGUUCUCCCUUUUCCAGUUCCCUGCCUGGAUUUUAGCAGAUACCAUUUUUUAGCAUCUCAACGAGGAAAUCACAACAAUUUCCAUGGGAAGAAUCCCAGAGAUGACAGGGCUUCCCCCCAAAACACUGCCUGUGUAAUUGCUGAAGACAUUCCAAGCCCCUCUAACGAAGUGCUGUCUGCCAGUCAUUCUGUUCUCCUUGCAGGACCAUCUGUUGCACUUCAAAUAUGUAAAGGUCUCUAUCAUUUAUUGCUCCAAACAAAUCCAGGCCUUUGUCUGAUGUGCUGGAGCUCCUGAAUGGAUUCUCAAGGUGGUUUCAGUCACAAAGGGCAGGGUGUUGCCUUUGGUUGUCCUCCCUCAGCUCAAAUUUCAGAGCACAAAAAUACUGAUUAAACCAAUAGCUGGAUAUUUUCAAUUUCUUUAGAAAUGAAUUACGAACAAUAACAACUAAAAAUAUCUGAAAUACGUUUUUAUUCAGCCAGGAGGACAUUGGAAGGUUUUUGCCUCUGGUGAACAAAUCUUUCCGUUGUAAAUGGUGUCCAGAUUUGAUAUAUGCUGAGAUUGGAAUGAAAAUUACCUUAUUUUAACUAAAUUAAUUAGCUUAUUUAUAUCUGAAAAUAGUGAUUCAAAGGAAUGGUAAAAAAUAGAGUCAGCAGCUUAAAAUGCUCAAACCAUCCUUAGCACAUGUCCUUUACAAGGAUGUAAUACUUGGUUGUACAAUCCUUAUUUAUAGGUUAAUUAGGAUCCUUUCCAUGAGUAAAAUGAGCAAGAUCAGGCAUUAAAAGAUGCUUUUUUUGUUUUUCCUGCUGCAGAUUUUAAAGAGGCUCUACAAUCAAAAUGGAGAAGGGAUAUUUGGAUUCUGGUAACUCAAGACAUGCUGAGUGAAGAUUCUGCUCUACCUUUUACUCUGGACAUAUUUUACACUCACAUGUAGCACAGUGUACCACACAUGUUUGGGUAAUUUUGCAGGGAUCUGAUGAAGUUGUUAAAGCCAGGUAGGCAAUUUUGCCAGCAGUGAUAUUUUUAAUCUUCUUUUUUAAAAUGGUUUGGUAGUAGUGACUAAGGCAGACUAGGUGGCUCUGGGCAGCUCGCCAUUUGUAGGUAGUUUAAUUUGUUAAAAAUUAUCUUUCUUCCCACCCAAAUCCCCUUGAAACCAUUUGGAGAAGAGAAGUGUUGAAGAGUUGCCAGUAAUAAGUCCUGCUGAGACCUCGGUAUCCUCCUGACAGAAAUGUUGGUGCCAACUGGAGACUGACUGGCACGAGUUUGAACUCUGCACUACUUGAUAUAUUUGCUUCACAUGCACCAAUUACAAUAAUUACCACCUCUGCAGCUGAAGUUUAAGCACUCACUCUGCACUCCAUACCUCAGGUUGUUGGCAGUAUGUUCAAUCCUAUAAUCUCAAUUUUCUUGGAAUAAUUAAGUAGAAAAGAAACACUUCAAAAAAUGAGGAGUCUGAAUGGAAAUCAGAGGCUGAAUAAUAGAGUUGUUUGUCAUGUUGCUAUUGUUAAGCUGCACUUAUUUCUAUUUCAUCUUUAUUUCUAAAAAGCAGCAUCUUCUUUUGCCUGCAGAGAUUCACCAGGAGAUGCUGUAAUCCAUUGACUUUUACAUUCAGCAGUGGAGAAUCUCUUGAUGUGAAGGACAAGGCAACGUGAACUCCUGCUUUGUUUAGAUGUUUUAAAAAUAUAAAUAUUCCUUUCAAAAUAAAUGCUUUGACUAGAAGAGGAAAUCACCCAGCCCUUACUCCUUUUGGCUGGAUGUUUCCAUGUGAGAUUGUAGGGAUUUAAUACCUGACAAUUUAAUUCCUGGCAAUUCCACUGGUUUAAAUCUGAUGCAAUGGGGACCAUCUCUCCCCCACCCCUGGUGUCUUUCCAAGAGACUGGUUAAUUUUUAAAUUGGAUCAGCAACAUUCAAAAAAAAACAAAAAUUGGUAAAGUUUCUAUUACGCAAAGAUAAGCCUUAGACUGAGCACAAACUGACUUGCCUGUAGCUUUCCUAAUAUGAUUGCACUGUGCAGAGUAGAUACUAAAAUUUAUAUUAAAAUUUCUUUAUGCAGGUUCCCUCUAGGGAGAGGAAGAGGGAAGGGAAAAGCUUCAUGUGACAGAUGCUAAUUAUGCAGCUUAAUGCACUUCUGGAAGUUGCAGAGAUGAGAACUCUAUAAGAACCUAUCUACAAAACAAAGCACAUUUUCAACAGCAUUUUUCCCUCAAUGCUUUUUUAAUCUGCCUCCUCUCUGUUUUAUUUCCCAAAGAGUACAAAGGGCAGGCGGUGUCUCGGGUGCAGAACUCACCAGCCAUGGGUGUGAUUGCUCUCCAUUGUGCAUUGCUGCUCUGUCCAUGGAAUUGGGAAAGCUGCAAGGGAGGAGCUGGAGUUCAGAAUUCCCCAAUUGAUGUGUUAGCUUUCUUCCCUCUUUGGUGGAUGUUUUAUCAGCUCCUUAUCCUGGGUUUAGGUUUGCUGGAUGUUCUGCAGGGAUCCUGCAGAAGGAUUUGUUGUGAUGGAUGUGUCAGGGCUGAUGAACCAGAUCCCAAAAUGCUUUGUGUAGAGAAGUGAGCCGAGGUCCUCAAAGCUGGAGGUGCAGCCACACCAACCCCAGCGUUAGACACUAAUCCUCUCUUCCAGACACUGAGCUGUGCAGUUUGAGGGAAGAGAAAUGGGAAAAUUAUCCUGAAAUCAAUCCAGACUUGCAGGAACCAUUGUCCUGCAUAUCCAAAUCUACCAAAUCCCUUUUACCAAGUGAUUCUCUUCCCUCUUAGUGACAAACCCAAACCAGCUCUCAUGUGCUUGGUGCAGAAUCCUGCUUUCCCCGAUGCCCUUCACAUUUCCCGGUGGGGAGGAGUGACUCGAGAGCCUCUCCCAGGGCCAUGGGGGUGCCCAGGGGCUCCCGAGGGGCCGGGGCUGGCCCUGGGCACCCAGGAAUGCUCCUGGGCUGCAGCCAGCCCGGGGAAAACCAUCUGUUCCCCUUGGAAAGGGGUUUGCUUCCCCCGGAGCCCUCCCCCCGCAUCCCGGCUCCGGCCCCAGCUGCCGUGCUGCCACGAGCACUGAGGGAAUGAAUCUCCUGCGUUUAAAAAUACUCCGCUUCUAUUUAGAUGAAAAGAAGAAUCUUGCUUGCCUACACUGGCAUACAAAAAUAGGCUCAGUGUGAGUAAAUCUUCAAAGUUUCUCUUGGUGAAUAUAUCUAGCCUCACUUCUUUUUUUUAACUUAUCAUAUAAGUUUAUUUAUAGAGUGUCCUUCUUUCCUCCUACUCUAUCAAGACAUUUGCAGAAGGUUGUCGCUCGUCUUGUUCAGGAGUCCUGAAAUAAUUUGCAGGGCCUUUGAAACAUCAUCGUGUUGCAUAGUUGUGAUCAACGUGCUGCUGUUGCAUGAACAUAUCAUAUUUUAAUGUGAAUGUCAGGUUAGCUGAGACAUUCAGGGCUUUUUUUUACUUUAGGUGCUUUACACUGGUUUGUGUUUUCACUCGAACGCUGCAGUAAAAAUUCUGCAUAUAGUAAUUUGAAAUUUUCCAUUUUACAUGCAAGGCAUUGCCUAGAAAAUUAAUGUGUAAUAUGAGAGGAUUAGUAAGAUGCAUACACUUUCCAAACAUCUCUUAAAAAUAGCUUUCACUGUCACUGUAGCAUCUUAAUUCUGAAUAAUCUCACAGUCCUUCUGCAAAUCUGUGCAUGUAGUAACAGAGAAGCCACCUACUUCAUCCUCUUGAACUGCACAAUAUGGAUCCGGGCAUGGAUGGAAAAAAAUGGGUUUGGAGUUGGUCUCUGCUUUGGCAGAGAGGCUGUCUGUGGGACUAGUGAGAGCAUUAACGCUUGCAUUAAAUAUUAAAGUCAGCUUUCACAAUUCUU